ACGUAGGGAGCGAGCGUUGUCCGGAAUUACUGGGUGUAAAGGGCGUGUAGGCGGACUAGCAAGUCAGCUGUGAAAUCCAGGGGCUCAACCCCUGGCCUGCAGUUGAAACUGUUAGCCUUGAGUGGUGGAGAGGAAAGCGGAAUUCCUAGUGUAGCGGUGAAAUGCGUAGAUAUUAGGAGGAACACCAGUGGCGAAGGCGGCUUUCUGGACACUAACUGACGCUGAGGCGCGAAAGCGUGGGGAGCAAACAGG
rnacentral:rRNA from 1 species